rnacentral:lncRNA from 1 species
CUAGCCUUCUCGACCCCGAGCGGGCCCCACCGAGGGCUCCCGAGAGCCAGCCGCGCCCCUCCGCGCCCUCGCAUACCUGGCUGCCCAGUCUCGUCUCCCCCGGUCCGGCCCGGCGCCCACCCGUCGGGCUGCCCUCAGGGGCUGGGCUCGGGCCAGGAGAUGGCUGCGCCGGCGGCCAAGCCCGGUCCGGGUAUAAAUAGCUCGGUCCGCGGUGGCGGGGGGCGCGGGCUAUAUUUGGUGGGGCUGCUGCAGCCCUCCCUGUAUGGGUGGCCUCCCCGAGGGAGUGGGGAGCACUUGCGCUCGGGCCGUGGCGCUUUCCCCUGUUCGCAACACCCUGAACACUCCCCGACCCACACCCGCCCUUGGGCAAUGACUAACAGCCCGAGACCGUGCAGGGAAGUGGGGGACCCUCUCCAGAGCCAGGCUGGGCUCCCUGGGUUCGCCCUACCUCCACCCCUGGCCCCCAGCUCGUGGGAAAACCAGGCGCAGCCUUUGGUAGCCUCCCACUUCCUAACCCACGCCUCAGUUUCCCUAUACGAAAAGUGGGUUGGUCAGGAGCCUCCCUGGGUGUUGGGCCAGUCAAGAGACAGGAGCCGCAGAGUGGAAGGGAAGCCCUUAGCUCUGGCCGGGGCCUCCAGGGGUGGCUGGAGUCGGUGAGGGACGAUGGGGGGAGCCGAGGGGCGGCUGUCCUCCUCUCUGUCCCAGAGGCAUGGGCUGAAAGGGUCCCUCUCCUGGUGAUGGCCAGAGUCAGGCCUGCUGGGCGGGAAAUGGCAGUUGGCCCACCCCAAGGCCCAGGGGCUUGUCCAUGCUGAGCACAAGGGUGGGAGGUCUUGUGUCUGUUGGGGCCGGGGAGUCCAAGGUCCCAGCUUCACUGCACAGGCCUGGAAGUCAGGUGGGUGCUGGCCUGACCCUGCUGAAGGAGGGUCUAUUCCGCCAGCGUGGUGUGGAGGCGGCUGGGCUCGACUCCCUCAUGGAGGGAAGGAACUGAGGAGGUGCUAGGAGGCCGUGGGGGGGUGUCUGCCCCCAGAGAGGCUUUGAGUGCAUGGGGGCUCUGCCGUGGCACGUGCAGCGUCUGUCCCCCAGGGCCCCAUGGUGUGGACAGAGUCUGGGGUGGGCACCUGGAGGCCUGGUCUCAAGGCAGGCUUGGUAACGACCCCAUGUGACCUUGGGCAGGGCCCGCCAUCCAGGCCACCCAGAAAGCCAUGUGGCCUGCACGAUCAGGCCAGACCCCACUGACUGGAGCGGGGCACUUUACUUUGGA